rnacentral:tRNA from 1 species
CACUGCGAAGCUAAGAGCG